UGAGGAAUAUUGGUCAAUGGGCGAGAGCCUGAACCAGCCAAGUAGCGUGCAGGAUGACGGCCCUAUGGGUUGUAAACUGCUUUUAUAUGGGAAUAAAGUGAGGGACGUGUCCCUUAUUGCAUGUACCAUAUGAAUAAUGACCGGCUAAUUCCGUGCCAGCAGCCGCGGUAAUACGGAAGGUCCAGGCGUUAUCCGGAUUUAUUGGGUUUAAAGGGAGCGUAGGCUGUUUGUUAAGCGUGUUGUGAAAUGUAAGAGCUCAACUUUUAGAUUGCAGCGCUAACUGGCAGACUUGAGUGCGCACAACGUAGGCGGAAUUCAUGGUGUAGCGGUGAAAUGCUUAGAUAUCAUGACGAACUCCGAUUGCGAAGGCAGCUUACGGGAGCGCAACUGACGCUAAAGCUCGAAGGUGCGGGUAUCGAACAGG
rnacentral:rRNA from 1 species